rnacentral:misc_RNA from 1 species
UGAAUUCUACACAUAACAUUCUCCGUCCAUUAUAAUAAGUUCAUCUAAAAGCUACCAUAUGUGCAGGCGCCAAGCGAAUAAAAACAAAUACCCAACAUAUAUAGUUGCAUUUCAUGGGGAGGCUAAAAGGCAUAAGGUAAAGUAACUUAUUGAGGUAGUCCACAGCAAGAUUACAGCUGCAUAUAAAAGGCAAAUUCUCCUAAUCUUUUUAAUCAUCGAAGGCAUACAGAUACAAAUGCAGAUUUCUUUCAAAUCAACUAACCAAGAGUCAAACACCGAUGUCAUGUCACCAAAGACACAACAGGAGGCAAACAUUUAUCAGAAGCUGCCGUACAUCUUAGCAUUUUUAAGUCACACUAGUUAUACACCAUAGAAGGGGAUAUUGUUCAUUCUUUAAAAAAAAAAGGAAGUGCACAUUGAUCAUGAAGGUUCUUCCAAUAGAUCAAUACAUGUUCCUGCUUCUGUUUCUGAAACCAUAAUUUACCUUUCUUUAAGUUCUAGAAGAUAAAGGUUAAAGCCUACCUACCUAUCUAUCUACAGCAGAAAGAUUAAAAAGAAAAAAAAAACCCCGGAAAUUCGAGAAUAGUACCUCCUCGUACUUCAGGGUAAGGGCAAUUCGUUCAUUUUCAGACAUAUCGGGCCUCAAAACCGCCGUGGUCUCGUAUUGUCCAAGUAAAGGAAGGCAUUGGGGCUGUUCCUUGUCCUCGACGGCUGUCAUCCUAACCCAGUUGACGAUGGCAGGUCUUCGUCGGACCUGAACCCUCCACCUUCAUAAAACGAACCAGAGGAGGCUAGUGUUUGGGCCUUGACGGUCA